rnacentral:rRNA from 1 species
GACGAGCGCUGGCGGCGUGCUUAACACAUGCAAGUCGAACGGAAAGGCCCUGCUUUUGUGGGGUGCUCGAGUGGCGAACGGGUGAGUAACACGUGAGUAACCUUCCCUUGACUGUGGGAUAACUUCAGGAAACUGGGGCUAAUACCGGAUAGGAGCUCCUGCUGCAGGGUGGGGGUUGGAAAGUUUCGGCGGUUGUGGAUGGACUCGCGGCUUAUCAGCUUGUUGGGGGGGUAGUGGCUUACCAAGGCUUGGGGGGGGAGCCGGCCGGGGGGGGGGACCGGCCGCAUUGGGGCUGAGAGACGGCCGAAGCUGCGAAGGGAGGCAGAAGGGGGGAAGAGUGCAGAAUGGGAGGAGGCCGGAUGCAGAAAGGCCGCGGGCGGGAUGACGGGCGACGGGUGGUAAACGGGUUUGAGCAGGGGCGAAGCUUGUGGUGACGGUACCUGCAGAAGAAGCACCGGCUAACUACGUG